CUACGGGGGGGACAAGCGUUGUUCGGAUUUACUGGGCGUAAAGAGAGUGUAGGUUGUUUAUUAAGUCGGAUGUGAAAUCCCGGGGCUCAACCUCGGAACUGCAUCCGAUACUGAUAGGCUAGAGUUUGGGAGGGGUAAGCGGAAUUCCGUGUGUAGCAGUGAAAUGCGUAGAUAUACGGAGGAACACCUGAGGCGAAGGCGGCUUACUGGACCAAUACUGACACUGAGACUCGAAAGCGUGGGUAGCAAACAGGAUUAGAAACCCGAGUAGUCC
rnacentral:rRNA from 1 species